rnacentral:misc_RNA from 1 species
UUUCCGUAGGUGAACCUGCGGAAGGAUCAUUAUUGAAUAAACUUGGCGUGGUUGAGCUGACUCUCUCGGGAGUAUGUGCUCGCUCGUCAUCUUUAUCUUUCCACCUGUGCACUUUUUGUAGAUUUGGAUGUAACUUUCUGAGGCAACUCAGUUGGGAGGAAUGCUAUUUCGAUGGCUUUCCUUGUAUGUCCAAGUCUAUGUUUUCAUAUACUCCAAGUAUGUAACAGAAUGUAUCACUGGGCCUUGUGCCUAUAAACCUUAUACAACUUUCAGCAACGGAUCUCUUGGCUCUCGCAUCGAUGAAGAACGCAGC